GGUUGCCUGGCGUACUUCGGUGACGCCUUCUCCUUCACGGCAGAAGACGGCCGGUACCCUGAUUGGCGCCGCGUUCUGCCGCGCGAAGCCACUA
rnacentral:tRNA from 2 species